rnacentral:rRNA from 1 species
UGGGGAAUAUUGGACAAUGGGGGAAACCCUGAUCCAGCAAUGCCGCGUGAGUGAUGAAGGCCUUCGGGUUGUAAAGCUCUUUUGUCAGGGACGAUGAUGACGGUACCUGACGAAUAAGCUCCGGCUAACUUCGUGCCAGCAGCCGCGGUAAUACGAGGGGAGCUAGCGUUGUUCGGAAUUACUGGGCGUAAAGGGCGUGUAGGCGGUACCAUAAGUCAGAUGUGAAAGCCCUGGGCUUAACCUAGGAUGUGCAUUUGAUACUGUGGAACUAGAGAUCGAGAGAGGAAAGUGGAAUUACGAGUGUAGAGGUGAAAUUCGUAGAUAUUCGUAAGAACACCGGUGGCGAAGGCGACUUUCUGGCUCGAUACUGACGCUAAGGCGCGAAAGCGUGGGGAGCAAACAGG